rnacentral:rRNA from 1 species
CCUACGGGUGGCAGCAGUCGGGAAUAUUGCGCAAUGGAGGAAACUCUGACGCAGUGACGCCGCGUGCAGGAAGAAGGUUUUCGGAUUGUAAACUGCUUUAGACAGGGAAGAAAAAAGACAGUACCUGUAAAAUAAGCUCCGGCUACCUACAUGCCCGAGGCCGCGGUAAUAGGUAGGGAUAAAGAGUUUCCCGGAUCUAUUGGGUUUAAAGGGUGCGUGGACGGAGAAGCAAUUUAGUUGUGAAAUCCCUCGGCUUAACUGAGGAACUUAAACUAAAACUACUUCCCUUGAGUACUGGAGAGGAAAGUGGAAUUCCUAGUGUAGCGGUGAAAUGCGUAGAUAUUAGGAGGAACACCAGUGGCGAAGGCGACUUUCUGGACAGUAACUGACGUUGAGGCACGAAAGUGUGGGGAGCAAACAGGAUUAGAUACCCGUGUAGUC